rnacentral:rRNA from 1 species
UACGGGGGGGGCAAGCGUUGUUCGGAAUUACUGGGCGUAAAGGGCUCGUAGGUGGCCAACUAAGUCAGACGUGAAAUCCCUCGGCUUAACCGGGGAACUGCGUCUGAUACUGGAUGGCUUGAGUUUGGGAGAGGGAUGCGGAAUUCCAGGUGGAGCGGUGAAAUGCGUAGAGAUUGGAAAGAACACCGAUGGCGAAGGCACUUUACUGGGCUAUUACUAACACUCAGAGACGAAAGCUAGGGUAGCAAAUGGG